UCCAUCCUAAGUCAGCAGCAGAGCGUGCCUGGGGCGUGAGCAGUUGGAGGGACCGACCAGUGGAGUGUGCGUGUCGGAAGGCAGUCUACCCAGUCGUGACUGAGCACAAAUGUGCAAUAAAAUAAAAAAGAAGGAAAGUGCUCACAUACAAAUUAAGAAGUUCAGCUCUGUCUCAGGAGAUGGG
rnacentral:sRNA from 1 species